rnacentral:rRNA from 1 species
GAUGAACGCUGGCGGCGUGCCUCAAACAUGCAAGUCGAGCGGGGCUAUGUAAUAUCGCAAGGUAGAACAUAGCCUAGCGGCGAACGGGUGAGUAACACGUGGGUAACCUGCCUGGAAGACAGGGAUAACGAUUCGAAAGGGUCGCUAAUACCUGAUAAUAUCCUUUCAUCGCAUGGUGAUAGGAAGAAAGGGGAAACCCGCUUUUCAGAUGGGCCCGCGUCCCAUCAGCUAGUUGGUAAGGUAAAGGCUUACCAAGGCGACGACGGGUAGCCGGUCUGAGAGGAUGUACGGCCACACUGGGACUGAGACACGGCCCAGACUCCUACGGGAGGCAGCAGUUGGGAAUCUUAGGCAAUGGACGAAAGUCUGACCUAGCGACGCCGCGUGAGGGAAGAAGGCCUUCGGGUUGUAAACCUCUGUCAUGGGGGAAGAAGUAGUGACGGUACCCAAGAGGAAGCCCCUGCUAACUACGUGCCAGCAGCCGCGGUAAGAGUACUCUAU